UUAAACCCAUAUUAAAGCAUACUUUCCCCUUCCCUUUAAUAACUUAUUUAGGGUAAAUAUUCAUCUUUUUAUAAAGUUUUUUUCCCCCGCGUCUCUUCACCUCGCCGCUGGCGGCCCUGGCAGUGGCCCGUGAUGAUGUGGGUCUGGAUCUCGCCCUAAACCUAAACUAGCUAAACCAACCUUUGCCCCCCGCCCCAGUCUCCUUGGGUUUGGUCAUUAAAAUCAGAGCUAUUCGAGGAGAAAAAAUGUGGCUCCUCCUUGAGAUGCCCUAACCACAGGUGAAGCCAAAGCGUGCUGUAGGAUGUGUCCAGCCCAGCUGCAGCAGGCGGAAAGUGACUGGAAAUUAAAAUAACUUCGUUCACCAGAGGUUAUCAGCUGGAUAUCUGUCAUCAUCAGUUUGUACAGAAAGAGUCAUCUGCGGCAAAGGGCUGGACUAGAGCAGAGCCCGGCUCUCGGCAGCCGACAGACAUGAGCCCUCCCGACAGAAACCGAGCCCAAACCUGCUGAUGCGCGGUGCUGCCGCUCCCGGGACCCUAAAAUGGUUUAAGGCUACUCAUUCAGCUGGAAUUUGUCCUCAUUCAAAAUGACCAAAGCAUGAAGAGCCAGUUCCACAGAUGUCCAUGGAAAUACCUAUUGAAACCAUAAACUUCAAUGAUGGAUCAGUUCUGAGAAAACACACAAGUUUGGAGUUAGCAAGUUGGCGCAACAAGCCAGAGCUGUGGUGGCAAGGACUGUCCAGGUGCAGUGGAAGGGGAGAAGGACCUACCCACAUCCUUGCUUCCUGGAAGAUGGGGUCUGCACCACGGCCCCUGCAUCACUUCAGGACGGCAGCAGGGCCCCUAGAGUCGUGUUUCUUCCACACAAAGAAGUGCUGCCUCUGGUCCAUGCCACCAAACAGGCAUGGAGCUAUGGCCAGCUACCCCACAGAGUUUCAGAGGCUAGAGCUGACUCACAGGCUGCCUUGAACCCACCCAACUCUGCAUAAAAGCAGGAUCUAGCACACCUAGAUCUACAUUUUACUGCAAGGAACGACAACACAUAUUCCUUUAAGGUAUUCAGCGUUACAAGGCUUCCCAUUAUCUGCCAGCCUGCAUGUCAAAAAUACAACUUUCAAUGAAUUAAAUUAUUUUAUUAGUCAUCUAUUUAGAAAGCAGGAACCUGCUGUGUAAAGCUCAAAAAGUAAAUAAAGUCUCAUGGUGAAGGAGUUUUGGUCCAGUGGGAGUUUUGCUGGAGAAACGCCUGCACAAGUUGACCUAUUUAAUGAAAAUGUAAUAAAAUGCAAUUUCCUUUACAUAAUUACACUCUAGUGUUAACCUUGGAAUAAUAAAUUUGUAAAAAGCUGAGCAAAGUGAUUAAUCUGUGGUUACCUCCUAGUAAAAAAGAAAAAACAAACCACAAAAAACCCCCAAAACAAACAAACAAAAAAACCCCAAAAAAACCAAAUACAAAAAAAACCCCAAACCAAACAAAAAAAAUCUUUUAAGGAAGUGUGUUAAUAAUUAAAAAUAACUUUUAUGGUCUAAAUGAAGAGUCCUAACAGUGUUUUAAAGGGAAAUUACUUAAUUUUUUUGUUUUGUUUUGUUUGUUUAUGUCAGUUAUUCAUUUGUGGGCCAUCUAUAAACUGGGGUAAAUUAUUGACUCCAAUAUAAACUGGAUAUGUGCCAUAUUAUUCAAGAAAAACAAUACACUGUAAAAACAAUACAGAGAAGAGGUAAUUUGUACAGAGUUCAUGAGACAAUUAUAUCAUCUAAUUACGAAACUGACUCACUAUGUCCUUGGCUCUAUUUAUUAGAAAAGAAUUGAAGGACAUACUAAACAUACUCAGUGUCUAGUAAUUUAAAUUAAAUCCUGCCUGUACACUCAAACAUCCAGGAACUGGUGUGAUCCAGCACAUGGAUCAGAAGUCCCAAAGGAGGAUGCCUUGAUUUGGGACUUAGGAUACUACUUCAUGUUUCUGUGAGCUGGGAAUUAAACUAUUGCCCCAUUUUGCUGAAAAGUGCUUUGAAACUCAGCACACGUUACAAAAAACAUUUAAUAACGUUAAUAACACACUCACAAAAAAAGUCAGUAAUGACUUAUUUCAAGACUUGACAGCAGUUGGAAAACUGUCUGUGGUUUACGUGCUGGCACAGCGCCUCACUGGAGUAAUCCAGCAGAAGCAUUUGGAUGUCAGAGGAUGUGUUUCGUGUUCAAACAGAAGCAAAUCAUUGAGGUGUCUGAACCAUAAGACAUGACCAAGGCUCUGCACAUAUAACUCACUUGCUCCCAGUGGAGUUCAUCGAAGCACAGAAAUUACUAAGACCAAAACAAAAGCAAGUUGCUGAAUUACCCUCUGAACUGUCAAAUCGUAGCUGCACUGCAACCUUUUGAAUUCUUUUCAGAUGUCUUUCCUUGAACUUUUAAUGCUAUUUAAGGAAUGUACAAAUAUUUUCUACGUCAAUCCUGUAAAGAAUUUCAUUAAAUAAAAUAAUCUUUUUGCACCUCA